rnacentral:misc_RNA from 1 species
UAAUAGUCAACUUAGAGGAGUAGACGAUAACGUUUAUAGAGAUCUGAUGGUUGGUGAAAAUCAGAACGCUUAAAUCGAAGGUUACUAAGAUAUAGAAAACGGAAGAUAUUAAGUGGCUUGGUAACAAGCAACUUGGGUGGUACCACGCAAAAGCGUCCCGAGA